rnacentral:rRNA from 1 species
GAAUUUUGGACAAUGGGGGCAACCCUGAUCCAGCCAUCCCGCGUGUGCGAUGAAGGCCUUCGGGUUGUAAAGCACUUUUGGCAGGGAAGAAAAGGCUCUGGCUAAUACCUGGAGCUGCUGACGGUACCUGCAGAAUAAGCACCGGCUAACUACGUGCCAGCAGCCGCGGUAAUACGUAGGGUGCAAGCGUUAAGCGGAAUUACUGGGCGUAAAGCGUGCGCAGGCGGUUUGGCAAGAAGGAUGUGAAAUCCCAGGGCUUAACCUUGGAACUGCAUUCUUAACUGCCAGGCUAGAGUAUGUCAGAGGGGGGUAGAAUUCCACGUGUAGCAGUGAAAUGCGUAGAGAUGUGGAGGAAUACCGAUGGCGAAGGCAGCUCCCUGGGAUAAUACUGACACUGAGGUGCGAAAGCAUGGGGAGCAAACAG